GCAGUCUGACCAGCCAUGCCGCGUGCAGGAUGAGGGUCCUAUGGAUUGUAAACUGCUUUUGUACAGGAAGAAACACUCCCUCGUGAGGGAGCUGACGGUACUGUAAGAAUAAGGAUCGGCUAACUCCGUGCCAGCAGCCGCGGUAAU
rnacentral:rRNA from 1 species